CCUACGGGAGGCAGCAGUGGGGAAUAUUGGACAAUGGGCGAAAGCCUGAUCCAGCAAUGCCGCGUGAGUGAUGAAGGCCUUAGGGUUGUAAAGCUCUUUUACCCGGGAUGAUAAUGACGGUACUGUAAGAAUAAGGAUCGGCUAACUACGUGCCAGCAGCCGCGGUAAU
rnacentral:rRNA from 1 species